rnacentral:lncRNA from 1 species
CAGAAAGACCUGCUGCCUGAGGUUGAUUUCGUCCUGUUCAAGGAUGAGAAUAACUUCAUGGAAAAUGGGACCUCUCCAAGGAUUAUCAACAAAAAGAGCUCCUACAGGAUGCCAGAUCCAAAGUAAAAGAAGAACUCGAGGCACAUCAAAACUACCACUGGCACUAAUGAUACAAGACCCGACCCUGAUCUCGAGGACCUAAAAGACCCUUGCCCCAUUUUUUUAGGUUCCACGUCACCCCCUUUCAGCAGGCAGUAGCUUAAUGAGGACGACACCCAAAUUCCCAUGAUUGGGUUCCUAAGGUCCUUGAGAAGGCGGGAAUGUAAGGACCAAGUUUGCAAGUCAAGGAGGGCUCCCUCUGUGCCCUUUGCCCACCUCUGCC